GGUCUUCCAGCCAUUCUCAAGACUAGAAGUGUACAGCUUUGCGCAAGGGCAACUUCUCUGCAUGGCAGAGGUGAGGGGAAAUGAAAAUGAUGCUGGGACUAAGUGUCGCCUCUCUGAGAAGUGUCGCAGUCGCAGUCAUGUGGCAUGUCUGUUACAUUUCCCAGAAUGGUUCCCAGCGCUGGAGCUAAUUCCUUUUCGGAGAACCUACAUUUCUCACCUGCUGAUUGCAAUUAGCCACUGCCAGCUGGGGCCUGGUAUGCAGCGGAAAAGCUAACAAGAAGUAGAGACCGCGCGGAACCCAGACAGGGCAGAGGAUGUGCAUAAGUUUUGUUGAAACUGUCAACAGGGCAAGAGGUGAAUGCAGCAAAUCGUAAGGAGAAGACCUGAAUGAGGCAACAACAGAUGCUCACAAUGAUGGCAACUGCUGAAGUUGAUGGGUAAUGAUUUUGCGGCAUCGUCUCCACUGACUCGGGCCCUCCUCCACCCUGGCUGCUGCUGAAGACCCCAGGAAGCAUGGCCCUGACCUCUGUUUAGUCUCCAUUCAGGAGCAGCCGGCCACCAUGUUGUAAGGCAACCCUGUGCCUGAGGCCAGCCAGCAGCCCUAAGAGUGGGCUUAGGAGCAGAUCCUGCCCCCACCGAGCCUGGAAAUGGGACUGCAACCCCAGUGAUACCUGGACUGAAGCCUCGUGAGGGACACCGAGCCAGAGAACCCAGCUAAGCCGCGUCCAAAUUCCUGACCUUCAGAGAUGGGUUUGGGCCUGAGGUGUGUGAUGAUCCCAUCUGCGCUCUUGUAUCUCACGAGGCCGAUGAAGCCGCACCUUCAGGACUGCUCACUUGCGUGGACCUCUUUUUUGUACAUUUGCGAAAGUACAAGUGCGGCGUGUGCUUGGACAACCCUCGGGCCCUCUACAUAUAAGCGAUUUAUAGCCGGGUCUGAAUGGAUUGGAAUCAGAUGGCAAAACCCAGAUUAACCCCCUGGAUCCUGGUGGCCAUUGGUCAGUCUUUGCUGUUAAUGAUACUUUCACCCGAGUGAAUGCAUUAAAGACGUUCCUUUUAAGAUAAAUAUGCAGCUCGGUCCCUGAUGUCUGCCUGUCGCAAAAACGUGUGAUGGGAGACCAAAUGUCAAUAAAAUCUCCCUGCCCGCCUCAACCCGGUACAUAAUCAGCUCGAAGGUAAAUAAAUGCAAAGGAAUGCAAAGCCAGAGACGUUAGCGUACUCGCCAGAGCCACACCAGUAAUAAGAGGCAGAGCCAGAGUUGCAACCCAGUCAGCUGCGGCGUCUACCUCUCCCCAGCCUCCCAGCCUGGGAAAUUCAAGAAAUCGAAUGCAUCAUCUCUGAGGGGAAAAGGAGAUAAAGGUCCAGAACCCAUCCAAACGCUUCGUUUGGACCAGAUCUUUUCCAAAGGGAACGCACCAGAUGAUGGGCAUGAAAGGCCCUUAGAAAUGAGAUCAAUCUCGGCCUCUCUCUGAGGACAGCACUCAGGACCAGAGACUGGAGCCGGCUUGUUCAAGGUCACUCGGCGAGCUAAUGGAAGACCCGGGGCCACAGGUCAGAGGUCAUGGUUCACUGCACUAUUUUAUUCUGCACAUACACACAAAAAUGAUUUGGGGAAAUUCUUUAGCAAAGGCAGAAGAGUGAAAGCUGGCAAAUUUUGGAUGGAAAUUUAAGACAGAGCAUGAGUCAGAUCUCUUUAAAGUAUCACUCAGUGUUUUUGCUGUGACAGUACAUAAAAAUAACACUAGCUAACUAGUUUAGUGAAGGCUUGCCACCAGGCAGACACUGCCUUAAACACUUGACACACUUUUUUGCAUUUAAAUCUCCAAACGAUGCUCUGAGAAAGGAAUCCAUUUCACAGAUGAGGAAACUGAGACUUAGGGAAAGGAACUUUCCCAAAGGUACCCGGAUAGGGCAAUUUUGACAGCGGCUGGAGCAUAACAACACUCUGAAAUUCACAGCCAUUCUCGUCAUAUGUCCCUUAGAUUUCUGAUGCUGAGAUUGAGCCUCGUAUUCAGUCUAUGCGGGCACCAUCUGCAGCUGUAGAGGCCUUGUUCUAAACAUCUCACGUCAGCCCUGCCAAAGUGCAGCUUUGCAAGUGAGCCCCCAGAAACCCAUUCAUUCAUUUAUCCAUUCAAUAAUUUUUUUUCUUUUUAGGGCUGCACCCGCUGCAUAUGGAAGUUCCUGGGCUAGGGGUCGAAUUGGAGCUGGAGCUGCCGGCUUAUACCACAGCCACAGCAACAUGAGACCUGAGCUGGUGACCUACACCUCAGCUCACAGCAACAUGAGACCUGAGCUGGUGACCUACACCUCAGCUCACAGCAACACCAGAUCCUUAACCCACUGAGUGAGGCCACGGAUGGAACCAGCAUCCUCAGGGAUACUAGUCAGGUUCUUAACCCACUGAGCCACAAUGGGAACCCUAUUCAAUAAUUUUUAUUUAUGGCCAGAAGCAGUCCAGACACUGAGGGAAACAUGAAGAAAUGUAAAACACAACUCGUCUCUCAAGUAAUUCCCAGUCUAUCUAGGGAUCAAUGCCCCUAAGUCCAGCAUGAAGAUCUGGGAGAUAGGAGAGAUUUAAAACAUCCUGGCCCAACUUCCUACCCAAGGCAAGAAGCCCCCCUACCCUAUUCCCACCAGAUCCAGCUUCUGCUGAAAUAAGUCUGGAGACAGAGAAUUUAGGGCUCAACCAUGCAGGAAGCCAGAUCUUUCCAGUUCUAAUUGUGAGAAAGACAAAAACAACAACAACAACAAAACCUCUCUCUGAUUUUAAGCUGAAAUUCAGCUUCUGGUAACGUUUGCCCUCCUGGCACGUUCACAGGCCACUGUCCCAUCUUCCCUGAGUCAUUUGUGUGCCCUAAAUGGUUCCUCAGGCAAGUCCUCACCAUCCAUCUCCAGGUGCCAAUUCCUUCCCACAAGGCUCCCUUCGUGGAAGGUGUAUAGGGGGCGUCACAAGACACGAUAUUGAUUAAUUUGCUAAAUCUGUGCUUUCUGGGGUGUUCCGUAGAACACUAGUUCCACAGAGCUUAAGUAAGUACGUGCUCCAGCAAAAUAAACGCCCAUCCAUUAUUCCAUCCGAGAAAUCUCGGCAAAGCCAACCAGGUUCCAUUACUGAAACUUACCACCUCCAAGGUUAUGAGAGACUCGUGUAAGCCUGCAAAAGCAGAUACGGAAUGCUGUGAUGUCCCCCAGUCUUUUCAUGCCAGACUGGACUCUGCUCACGGAGCAUUUCCCAGAGACACUGUUCCUCAGAGAACUUUUGGGGGAAAGGUAAGUUAAAAACAAACAAACAAAAGUAAUCCAGACAGUGACCCCAUAAGCACUAAAGACCAUUCUGAAGCUGGAUGGCGGGGCGGAAGCCAUCUUUUCCUGCCGCCCCCACUUGGCACUCAACAGAUCUGUGCCCAUGGCCUUGACUUCCGAUGGCCAGCACUGCAUGUCUGCCUGAGAGCUUUGCAGCUACUGGAGACGGUACCCACGAUGGCAACGGGCUGGAAUUCCUAGAAAUCCAGCGGCCCUCCUCCCCCAGAGCAGCUGUCAACCCAGACGGACAGGCGGGCUCCUCCACCCUUGGUGGAGAUGACUCAAGGGCAUGGUUCCGCUGGAGGUUCCUUUCCAUCCCGCCUCAUUUCCUCGCGCCUCUGCUGCUUUUUCCUGCCAUCUCCUUCCACAGAAACGAUUGGCACUCCAGUCCCGUCCGGGCUCUGCUUUUGGUGGAAUGGGACUGGGCCAUCAUCUUCUUCUGCACCAGAUGCACGCGCCUCACAAAUCUCGCCCUGCCUCGGUCUCCCCACGUGUUUUUCUAGGGCUUGGGGACUCAGUCUGGCCAGGAUGGAAGAGGACUCCAGACAGGGAAACAUGGGAAAGGGGGGGCAGCUCUCGGGCACAUAAAUCACUGUGCAGCCGAGAGCUCUGCUGCUCCCAAGCCUGCAAGGUAAUUCCCAGGGCUGCGAAUAACUUGGCAAGCAACCCGCAAGUCAGGGCGGGACGCGGGGCCAAGCUUCUGGGUCGCUUGUCUCCAUUUUUUACUGUGGGUGUAACCUUGAUCCCUCUGCAGAGGUAAACAACGGGGUCUGAAUUAUUUGGUUUGGAAAAGGAAGAGGCCCCAGGGAGGUACGCGCCGCAGUAAUAAAUGCGGAGGAGAAACAGCUGUGCGCCGCUCGCCCGCCGCCCUCCCUCAGCGCCACCCCGGGCCGUCUCUGAAGGCGGAAAGGCAUCGCUCUCCCCGUCCCAAGUAUGGGCCGGCGUUGCCGAAGCCACAAAUCACCAAGAAAAGUGCAGAAGAAAGUUCGCCAUUUCUUGGAAUGGAGAUCAUAAUAAAUAAUAAUAAUCU
rnacentral:lncRNA from 1 species